UACGGGGGGGGCAAGCGUUGUUCGGAAUUACUGGGCGUAAAGGGCUCGUAGGUGGCCAACUAAGUCAGACGUGAAAUCCCUCGGCUUAACCGGGGAACUGCGUCUGAUACUGGAUGGCUUGAGUUCGGGAGAGGGAUGCGGAAUUCCAGGUGUAGCGGUGAAAUGCGCAGAUAUCAGGAGGAACACCCGUGGCGAAAGCGGCUCUCUGGGACGGUACUGACGCUGAGACGCGAAAGCGUGGGGAGCAAACAGG
rnacentral:rRNA from 1 species